UUUAACAUGAAUAAAAGAAAAAUGUAUUCCAUACACCGAAAAAAAAAUGUAGCAAUAUUCAUCAUUGUAGCAAUAUUCAUCAGCCACCCUGUAUAUAAGGCAUUGAUUAAAAGUCAAAAUAUUUUGAUCACGGUUGCCGGACUAUUUUUAACGUGCCUUUAAUUUGGAUCGUAUUUCCCUUCAUUUCCCUCAACAUUUCGAAAAAUACUAAUAAAUUUCCAAUCAAACUGAGUUAAUUUCUUCAAAUAUCAUAUGGCUGUUUUUCAACAAUGGGAUAAACGUUUGGAGGCCAACGUAAUGCAGAGGUUAGCAUGUCCGCCCAUGACGCUGAAUGCCUGGGUUGAAAUCGUGGCGAGAACAUCAGAAACUAUUUUCAGCGGUGGUUAUACCCUCCUAACACUGGCGGCAUUUGUGAGUAACUAUGUCAUUUGAAAAAAUGGUAUGGUGGUGGUGUCGCACUCCGGCACGGCGUUCGGACUCGGCUGUUAAAAGGAGGACCCUUAUCAUUGAGCUUAAACUUGAAUCGGACAGCCCUCAUUGACAUAUGAAAAUUGUACCCCUGACCCUUAAUGGAAUGUAAAUGGGUAAAUUUGCAUUUGCUUUAAAUUUGGGGAUACACCUAAUGGCUUUUUCAUUAGACAAAUUUGUCGAAGUGAUCCAAAGACUACAAAAAAAUUAGUGAUACGUGGCAACACAGUAAAAUGAACAUACCAUACUGUUGAUUAAAACAAAAUGAAAAAAAUGA